rnacentral:rRNA from 1 species
AGGAAAAGAAACUAACAAGGAUUCCCCUAGUAACGGCGAGUGAAGAGGGAAGAGCCCAAGAUUGAAAGCUGGCGUCUUCGGCGUCCGCAUUGUAAUCUCAAGAAGCGUUUUCCGCUUCGGACCAUGCCUAAGUCCCUUGGAAAAGGGCAUCAUAGAGGGUGAUAAUCCCGUACAUGGCAUGGAGCGCCCGAAGCUUUGUGAUACGCUUUCUAAGAGUCGAGUUGUUUGGGAAUGCAGCUCAAAAUGGGUGGUAAAUGCCAUCUAAGGCUAAAUAUUGGGGAGAGACCGAUAGCGAACAAGUACAGUGAUGGAAAGAUGAAAAGAACUUUGAAAAGAGAGUUAAACAGUACGUGAAAUUGCCAAAAGGGAAGGGUAGGAGGUCAGAGAUGCGGCCUGGGAUUCAGCCUUGCUUUUUGCUUGGUGUUUUUCCCAGGUUGCAGGCCAACGUCGGUUUUGGGCACUGGAGAAGGGUAGGAGGAAUGUGGCACCUCUCGGGGUGUGUUAUAGCCUCCUACUGGAUACAGCGACCGAGACCGAGGACAGCAGCGUACUCGCAAGAGCGGGCCUUCGGGCACCUUUACGCUUAGGGCGUUGGCAUAAUGGCCCUCUACCACCCGUCU